rnacentral:tRNA from 1 species
GCGGGUAUAGUUUAGUGGUAAAACCAAGCUAACGACGCGGGUUCGAUUCCCGCUACCCGC